rnacentral:rRNA from 1 species
AUUGAACGCUGGCGGCAGGCCUAACACAUGCAAGUCGAACGGUAACAGGAAGCAGCUUGCUGCUUCGCUGACGAGUGGCGGACGGGUGAGUAAUGUCUGGGAAACUGCCUGAUGGAGGGGGAUAACUACUGGAAACGGUAGCUAAUACCGCAUAAUGUCGCAAGACCAAAGAGGGGGCCCUUCGGGCAUCAUGCCAUCGGAACUGCCCAUAUGGGAUUAGCUAGUAGGUGGGGUAACGGCUUACCUAGGCGACGAUCCCUAGCUGGUUUGAGAGGAUGACCAGCCACACUGGAACUGAGACACGGUCCAGACUCCUACGGGAGGCAGCAGUGGGGAAUAUUGCACAAUGGGCGCAAGCCUGAUGCAGCCAUGCCGCGUGUAUGAAGAAGGCCUUCGGGUUGUAAAGUACUUUCAGCGGGGAGGAAGGCGAUAAGGUUAAUAACCUUGUCGAUUGACGUUAUCCGCAGAAGAAGCACCGGCUAACUCCGUGCCAGCAGCCGCCGUAA